CCUACGGGUGGCAGCAGUGAGGAAUAUUGGUCAAUGGGCGGGAGCCUGAACCAGCCAAGUCGCGUGAGGGAAGACGGUCCUAUGGAUUGUAAACCUCUUUUGGCGGGGAGCAAUGCCGGGCACGCGUGCCCGGAGGGAGAGUACCCGCAGAAUAAGCAUCGGUGAACUCCGUGCCAGCAGCCGCGGUAAUACGGAGGAUGCGAGCGUUAGCCGGAUUUAUUGGGUUUAAAGGGUGCGUAGGCGGGUUUUUAAGUCAGCGGUAAAAUGCCGGGGCUCAACCCGGGCCGGCCGUUGAAACUGGGAGUCUUGAGUGGGAGAGAAGUAUGCGGAAUGCGUGGGGUAGCGGUGAAAUGCAUAGAUAUCGCGCAGAACUCCGAUUGCGAAGGCAGCAUGCCGGCGCCAGACUGACGCUGAGGCACGAAAGCGUGGGGAUCGAACAGGAUUAGAUACCCUAGUAGUC
rnacentral:rRNA from 1 species